CCUACGGGUGGCAGCAGUGAGGAAUAUUGGUCAAUGGGCGAGAGCCUGAACCAGCCAAGUCGCGUGAGGGAAGACGGUCCUAUGGAUUGUAAACCUCUUUUGUCGGGGAGCAAAAAGGCCUCGUGAGGCCACAAGUGAGAGUACCCGAAGAAAAAGCAUCGGCUAACUCCGUGCCAGCAGCCGCGGUAAUACGGAGGUUGCGAGGGUUACCCGGAUUUAUGGGGUUUAAAGGGGGCGUGGGCGGACUGUAAAGUCAGCGGUAAAAUCGGGAGGCUCAACCUCGUUCCGCAGUGGAAACUGUCGGGCUUGAGUGGGCGAGAGGUAUGCGGAAUGCGUGGUGUAGCGGUGAAAUGCAUAGAUAUCACGCAGAACUCCGAUUGCGAAGGCAGCAUACCGGCGCCCGACUGACGCUGAGGCACGAAAGCGUGGGUAUCGAACAGGAUUAGAUACCCGAGUAGUC
rnacentral:rRNA from 1 species